rnacentral:rRNA from 1 species
UACGUAGGGUGCGAGCGUUGUCCGGAAUUAUUGGGCGUAAAGGGCUCGUAGGCGGUUUGUUGCGUCGGGGGUGAAAACCCAGGGCUUAACCCUGGGCUGGCUUCCGAUACGGGCAGACUAGAGGUAUGCAGGGGAGAACGGAAUUCCUGGUGUAGCGGUGAAAUGCGCAGAUAUCAGGAGGAACACCGGUGGCGAAGGCGGUUCUCUGGGCAUUACCUGACGCUGAGGAGCGAAAGUGUGGGGAGCGAACAGG